rnacentral:lncRNA from 1 species
GUAAAGGUCCAUUUUGUGAAGUCAACAUUCUGCAAGGAAAAUACUCUCUGGAGAAUCUGGAUGAUGAUGUAGCGAAGGAUCUUGUCGAGUGGAUGAUCAAUGAACAUCCAAACAACAGACCAACUGUGGAGCAAACCCUUGAACACCCCUUCUUCUGGACUAAUGAACGGAGAGUGGAAUAUUUGAAAAAGAUGGGGAACCAGAAGGAGACCGAGAACUGUCGUAAUGUUGAUGAGGAGCUCCUUCAAACUGUUGAAAAAUACACCGAGGGGAAAAGCUUUUCUGAAUGGAAAACUAAAUUGCCAUCUGAGCUCAUCCAGAAAUUAGAUGGUAAGAAGAAAGGCUAUCCUGAGAACAUGCUGGGCCUGCUGCGUUUUAUACGCAACCUACACGAGCAUUAUGCAGAGGACACAGAGAGCAUCAGCCUGAUGGCUUCAUUCCCUGAUCUGUUUGGGAGUGUGCUCAGGUUUGCGAAGGAGAGAGGAUGGAACUCCAGAGCCAGUCUGAAAAAGUUCUUCAGCUCAGCUCCACAGAUCUGAUUGUUGUUGUUGUUGUUGUUUUUUUUUUUUGCACAUUGAUUCUGCAUCAUGAAUGUGUUUCAUGAUUGGGUUUAAAUGUAGGGAUAGAU